GACUGCAAGCGUCAACGAAGUCAUCUCAUCGAUAGCAGCAAGUUGCGGGACCCUAAUGGCGUGAUGGUACCUUGCAGCAAACGACACAUGGUGAUCUCGCGAGUGGCGAACAAGCGGACGGUCGCGGGUGCGGCGCAAACCUGUGCUCGAAGACGGGACAUAGUUUGGACCUGCAAUGCAACGACGCUGGCCCGUGAACAAAAGAGGGAAAAAGGAAAUUCCUCGAAUCCUCGUGCACACAUCGUGACACCACGGCGUGCAACACCAUCCGUGGCCUCCUGCCCGACGUUUGCAAGAAACUGAAGAAAUCAGCUGAACCCUUGCGCCGUCAAUGGAUCUGAUGGAUGGUCCGUCGUGGAUGGUUUUC
rnacentral:lncRNA from 1 species